rnacentral:misc_RNA from 1 species
UGGAAUCGGAAUAUCAACAAAAUCAAAAUUGGAAAAAGGCUCAAAGUCAUCCUUGUUUCUGCCUCUCCCAAAACCAGGAUGUAUCCGUAGUAGGGCAAAUCCAGCAGAUUUAGAUGGAGAUUUGGCCACUCCUUCUGUUUGUAGUGAGAGCUCCAUUGGUAGUGAUGAUCCUGCUGACUCAAGUCAUCGUAGUCCCCGGGCAACUGACUAUGAUCGUGGGCAUAGAACUACUGCAAACAGUACUUCCAGUGCAAUGCUCAAGGAUCACUCUACUGUCACCCAAAUAAACUCACAAGAGGCAAAAAAAUCAGCUAAUAUUUCUUUUGGUAAUCAUACAUCUCCUACAUCACCCAAACGGAGACCUCUAAGCAGUCACGUGCCAAAUCUACAGGUUCCACAUCAUGGUGCUUUUUGCAGUGCCCCAGAUAGCUCUAUGUCAAGUCCUUCUAGAAGUCCAAUGAGAGCAUUUGGCACUGAACAAGUCAUAAAUUCUGCUUUCUGGGCAGGGAAGCCUUAUACAGAUGUCAAUUUACUAGGAUCUGGCCAAUGCUCUAGUCCUGGUUCAGGUUACAAUUCUGGACAUAAUUCAAUGGGAGGAGAUAUGUCAGGACAUAUAUUCUGGCAACAAAGUAGGGGUAGCCCUGAAUGUUCUCCAAUACCUAGUCCUAGAAUGACCAGCCCUGGCCCUAGCUCAAGGGUUCAGAGUGGCGCUGUGACACCAAUUCAUCCUCGAGCAGGAGGGACGACCAUUGAAUCACAGACAAGCUGGCCUGAUGAUGGAAAACAACAAAGCCACCGGUUGCCACUUCCUCCUGUAUCAGUUUCCAGCUCAUCUCCUUUUUCUCAUUCAAAUUCAGCAGCAGCAUCUCCUUCUGUGCCACGAAGUCCUGGAAGGGCAGAGAAUCCAAUAAGCCCUGGAUCACGCUGGAAAAAGGGAAAGCUGCUGGGUAGAGACACAUUUCACCACUUUCACUGUUAAAAC